rnacentral:rRNA from 1 species
GAUGAACGCUGGCGGCGUGCCUAAUACAUGCAAGUCGAGCGAACAGAUGAGGAGCUUGCUCCUCUGACGUUAGCGGCGGACGGGUGAGUAACACGUGGAUAACCUACCUAUAAGACUGGGAUAACUUCAGGAAACCGGAGCUAAUACCGGAUAAUAUAUUGAACCGCAUGGUUCAAUAGUGAAAGACGGUUUUGCUGUCACUUAUAGAUGGAUCCGCGCCGCAUUAGCUAGUUGGUAAGGUAACGGCUUACCAAGGCAACGAUGCGUAGCCGACCUGAGAGGGUGAUCGGCCACACUGGAACUGAGACACGGUCCAGACUCCUACGGGAGGCAGCAGUAGGGAAUCUUCCGCAAUGGGCGAAAGCCUGACGGAGCAACGCCGCGUGAGUGAUGAAGGUCUUCGGAUCGUAAAACUCUGUUAUUAGGGAAGAACAAAUGUGUAAGUAACUAUGCACGUCUUGACGGUACCUAAUCAGAAAGCCACGGCUAACUACGUG